AUGGUGGCGGCGGGGCCUCGGUUGCCCUGCUUCUGCGUGGGGAACCUCGGAUCUGGAGCGGUGGCUCCAUUGGCAAGGCACGGCCGGCUAGCAGUUGUGCGGGCGGUGUAUCUGGUGUCCCGGCCGCGCGGGCGGCAGGAUCCGGUGGUCGUUGACGGCCGGUGGCGGCUUCUGCGACGAUCGGUGCGCGCGAUCUGGCGCCUCCCCUCCUCUCCUGUUCGGCGUGCGGGCCAACCUGGUCGCGCUUCCUCUUGGUCGCCAGUUCUGUACAGGAGGCGCUGCUGGUGGCGGGGAUCUAGUUCGGGCGAAAUCCCUAGCCGGCCAUGA
rnacentral:rRNA from 1 species